rnacentral:rRNA from 1 species
CCUACGGGAGGCAGCAGUGGGGAAUAUUGCACAAUGGGGGGAACCCUGAUGCAGCGACGCCGCGUGAGUGAAGAAGUAUUUCGGUAUGUAAAGCUCUAUCAGCAGGGAAGAAAAUGACGGUACCUGACUAAGAAGCCCCGGCUAACUACGUGCCAGCAGCCGCGGCAAUACGUAGGGGGCAAGCGUUAUCCGGAUUUACUGGGUGUAAAGGGAGCGUAGGCGGUUAUGCAAGUCUGAAGUGAAAGCCCCAGGCUCAACCAUGGGACUGCUUUGGAAACUGGAAGACUGGAGUGCAGGAGAGGUAAGCGGAAUUCGUAGUGUAGCGGUGAAAUGCGUAGAUAUUAGGAGGAACACCAGUGGCGAAGGCGGCUUACUGGACUGUAACUGACGUUGAGGCUCGAAGGCGUGGGGAGCAAACAGGAUUAGAUACCCGAGUAGUC